CUUUGAAAUCGGGUAUUUCAAAAACAAUUUAUUAAAAUAACUUCAUUUUAAAAUUAAUAUAAAGUUAAUAAUUCUAGCUUUUGAGAAAAGUAUCAAUCAAAACUAAAAUUGCCCCUCCCGCCAAAACGGGGGGACAUAGACCCCCCUCCCAUAGAAACGGAUAUUUUCGGAUCAAGGUCUCGGAACAAGUUUUGGUUCACAGAUAUGAGUUCACAAUGAGCAGGCCUAUACAUUUGGUUGCAUCUAAAAUGGAUCAGCGUAUUGGUGAUCAUCGUCUUCAUCCUCAUCAUCAUCAUCGUCAUCAUCAUCAUCAUUAUUAUUAUCAUUUUCUAAUAUUCCUCCUUCAU